UACGUAGGGGGCAAGCGUUGUCCGGAAUUAUUGGGCGUAAAGAGCUCGUAGGCGGUCUGUCGCGUCGGCUGUGAAAACCCAGGGCUCAACCCUGGGCCUGCAGUCGAUACGGGCAGACUAGGGUCCGGCAGGGGAGACUGGAAUUCCUGGUGUAGCGGUGAAAUGCGCAGAUAUCAGGAGGAACACCGGUGGCGAAGGCGGGUCUCUGGGCCGGAAUUGACGCUGAGGAGCGAAAGCGUGGGGAGCGAACAGG
rnacentral:rRNA from 1 species